GAUGAACGCUAGCUACAGGCUUAACACAUGCAAGUCGAGGGGCAGCAUGGUCUUAGCUUGCUAAGGCCGAUGGCGACCGGCGCACGGGUGAGUAACACGUAUCCAACCUGCCGUCUACUCUUGGACAGCCUUCUGAAAGGAAGAUUAAUACAAGAUGGCAUCAUGAGUCCGCAUGUUCACAUGAUUAAAGGUAUUCCGGUAGACGAUGGGGAUGCGUUCCAUUAGAUAGUAGGCGGGUAACGGCCCACCUAGUCUUCGAUGGAUAGGGGUUCUGAGAGGAAGGUCCCCCACAUUGGAACUGAGACACGGUCCAAACUCCUACGGGAGGCAGCAGUGAGGAAUAUUGGUCAAAUGGGCGAGAGCCUGAACCAGCCAAGUAGCGUGAAGGAUGACUGCCCUAUGGGUUGUAAACUUCUUUUAUAAAGGAAUAAAGUCGGGUAUGGAUACCCGUUUGCAUGUACUUUAUGAAUAAGGAUCGGCU
rnacentral:rRNA from 1 species